rnacentral:rRNA from 1 species
GACGAACGCUGGCGGCGUGCUUAACACAUGCAAGUCGAACGAAGAGCGAUGGAAGCUUGCUUCUAUCAAUCUUAGUGGCGAACGGGUGAGUAACGCGUAAUCAACCUGCCCUUCAGAGGGGGACAACAGUUGGAAACGACUGCUAAUACCGCAUACGAUCUAAUCUCGGCAUCGAGGAUAGAUGAAAGGUGGCCUCUACAUGUAAGCUAUCACUGAAGGAGGGGAUGGCGUCUGAUUAGCUAGUUGGAGGGGUAACGGCCCACCAAGGCGAUGAUCAGUAGCCGGUCUGAGAGGAUGAACGGCCACAUUGGGACUGAGACACGGCCCAGACUCCUACGGGAGGCAGCAGUGGGGAAGCUUCCGCAAUGGACGAAAGUCUGACGGAGCAACGCCGCGUGAGUGAUGACGGCCUUCGGGUUGUAAAGCUCUGUUAAUCGGGACGAAAGGCCUUCUUGCGAAUAGUGAGAAGGAUUGACGGUACCGGAAUAGAAAGCCACGGCUAACUACGUGCCAGCAGCCGCCGUAA